rnacentral:rRNA from 1 species
AUUGAACGCUGGCGGCAUGCCUUACACAUGCAAGUCGAACGCGAAAGGGGGCGAACUCCUGAGUAGAGUGGCGAACGGGUGAGUAAUACAUCGGAACAUUUCCUGUAGUGGGGGAGUAACUUCGAGAAAUCGAAGCUAAUACCGCGUACGUCCUAUGGGAGAAAGCAGGGGAUCGCAAGACCUUGCGCUAUAGGAGUGGCCGAUGUCGGAUUAGCUAGUUGGCGGGGUAAAAGCCCACCAAGGCGACGAUCCGUAGCUGGUCUGAGAGGAUGAUCAGCCACACUGGGACUGAGACACGGUCCAGACUCCUAC